AUGACUGAGGUGGAUGAACCCCUACGCCCCCAAGGAAGUGAUAUUCAGUGUAAUGUGUUCGGCAGUGGCACCAAGGUGACCGUCCUCGGUCAGCCCAAGGCUGCCCCCUCGGUCACUCUGUUCCCGCCCUCCUCUGAGGAGCUCCAAGCCAACAAGGCCACACUGGUGUGCCUGAUCAGUGACUUCUACCCGGGAGCUGUGAAAGUGGCCUGGAAGGCAGAUGGCAGCCCCGUCAAGGCGGGAGUAGAGACCACCACACCCUCCAAACAGAGCAACAACAAGUACGCGGCCAGCAGCUACCUGAGCCUGACACCUGAGCAGUGGAAGUCCCACAGAAGCUACAGUUGCCAGGUCACGCAUGAAGGGAGCACCGUGGAGAAGACAGUGGCCCCUGCAGAAUGCUCUUAGGCCUCCGACCCUCACCCCACACACAGGGGCCUGGAGCUGCAGGAUCCCAGGGGAGGGGGUCUCUCUCCCCAUCCCAAGUCAUCCAGCCCUUCUUCCUACACUCAAUAAACCCUCAAUAAAUAUCCUCAGUC